UCUUUCCCAGAGGCACUUUGGACCCGGCUCUGGGAUGGAUUGACCCUUUGGGUUGCUCAGGAGGGCAAAUGGGAACACUGGGAACACCCAGGAGCUGCAGGUUGUGAUCUCAGCAAACUGCUUUUAUUCAGCACUCUGGGAACCCUGGCUGGGGCUCAGCUGCUGUGUCCAUAAACCCCUUUCCUGGGAGCAAACAGCUCUUUUCCAGCUGGGCACAAACAUGGAAUUAUCCUUUAUUUUUUCUGAGGAGCAGCUCAGAGCUUGUUCUGCUGAGUGGAGCUGCUUUCCUGUGCAGGAGGUGCAGCUCCUCACACCUUUCCCAGCCAGGAGUGGGUUGGUGCUCCUUGGCUGGAGUUGGCUCAGCCCGAAGCGAGAGGCCCCUGGUUGACCUGAAUACCCCACUCACCACAGGAUGAGGAGCCCAACCAAACAG